rnacentral:lncRNA from 1 species
AAGAACAGUAAAACAGACUUGUUAUUGGCAGCCCAUUAGUGCUCAGGAGAGGCGGUCUCCAGCAUGACAUCAGCCGGCGGCUCGACCCAAAUCUAGUAUUUCACCAGAGAGCCUAACGCUGCUGGCUUUCCAACUGUGUGGAAGACGAUACAGGCGUAACAAAGACAAGGAUGAAAUAAGUCCUGUGAUGGAGAGACAAGCAAAAUUCUACCUGACUUCACAGGAGGAAGAAGUGUGCUGUGCCAGGGGGAACAGGAGAAAGCUUCAUGGAAGAGGUGAGCCUUACAAGCCACGUAGGAUUUCAAAAGGGGAGGAUAAUGUUCCGAGGCAAGGAACCAGCAAAACACUGAGGAAUAAAAGUAAAAAUUGUAUCUGGGGAAUGAUGAGUGGUCCCAAAUGAAUGGAGGAGAAAGUUAAGCACCUGUGGGGUGUGUGUGGGGUGUGUAUGUGUUUGUGUGAGUGUGUUGGUGGGAGUGGAAAGUGGAAUUAGGAGUUUUGAGAUGCUUUGUUUUGCAAACCGCAGAUAACCCUUAAAGGUGUUGGAGACUUGUGGAUGGAGUGAGUGGUGAUGCAACCCAACCUAUAUAUUCAUAAUUGACCCUGUAAGCCAUAAAAAGGACAAGCUGAGAAGGGAUGAUAUUAGAGGCAGGAGGACCAGAGGCUACUUCAGUAGCCCAGGUCAGAGAGGAGGAGGACUGGCAAGGCAGAGGCAGUGUUCCUGGAGGGAGGGGAUAGAUGCUGGGGACCCUGCAGAGGUCAGGGGCAGCCAGUCAGGUGUGGUGGGAGGAAGGGAAGUGCUCUCUUCGGGGUGCCUGAGAAGGUGACCAUGGGCAGGACAGAGACUGGCAACUCUGAGAGAGAAAUGGAUUUGGGGAAAGAGAAAAGAAAACACUAGUUACAAUUGGAUACAUGGAGUUGGAGUUGUUGGUGGUGACUGUCAUGAAGGAGUACCCAGGGAAGAGUAAACAGAUAGAUGGAACAAAACAGGAGGAAGGCAGAACUCUGAGGAAUGCCCACAUCUAGGGGAGCCAGUGCAACAGACAACAUGGAACGGCAGGGUUAGUAGGAGACGGGCCAUGAGGAAAAGGGAGGGAAGUUCCAAGAAGAAAGGCUGGAAGGUAUUUCUGAUGCUUCAAGGAGACCCAAGAAGGGGAGAUGGUGAGGCAGUUGGGUUGGGCAAUAAAGAAGUUGAGCAGGGUGUGGGAAGUAGAGGCAGAAAGAUUUUGCACCUGGCUUUAAAGAAGUUUCACCAUGAUGACUGCAUGGAAAGUUUUUUUUGGGUGAUGGGCCCUUGAGCAAUAUUCAAGGAUAAAUAAUAAGGAGGGAGAGAUUGAAAGGCACCCAAGAGGGGACUCUGAUGGAGCAGGAUCAUGGGAGGGGCAGGAAGGGGUGGAGCAGGUGGGCUUGCAAAGCAGCAGGAAGAAGGUGCGAUAGACCAGAGAACAGUUAAGGUAAAGACAAGGGGGAGCGAGGGUGCAGGCAGCCUGCCGGGGAAGGAAACAAUGAGAUCCUAUGCUGAGAGUGAGGGCUGGGGAUGAAGGUGAUGGGAAGAGAGAAGUGGCUUGGAAAUUUGAGGCAGGGAGGACACGGAACAGAAAGUCAGGCAGGAAUGAAUAAUAGGGCAUUGAGAAGCUGAAGAUGGAAGCCCGGCUCUGCAACAUCCUCGUCUGCACAGUCAUGACAUUUGCUCCAGCCUUUCUGGGCAGUCUGGAAGCAGAAGCAGAAGCAAAGAACCCAGUGGCGGGAAUCCUCCAGCUAUGGCCAGCACUGCAGCCACAGUGGACAGCCAGAGACACAGGACCUUAGCGGAUGAUCGGAGAGAAUUUUACAGCAGGAAGCCUUUUUGUUGAUAUGGGUGACCUUCACCUCCAAGACCGGUACAGCCUUGUCUUGGGUUAAAUUUGGAGACCAAAUGUGAAAAAGUUUUACAUAAAAAAUAUAUACCGGCCAGGCACGGUGGCUCACACCUGUAAUCCCAGCACUUUGGGAGGCUGAGGCAGGCAGAUCACGAGCUCAGGAGAUCGAGACCAUCCUGACUAAUACGGUGAAACCCCAUCUCUACUAAAAAUACAAAAAAUUAGCUAGGUGUGGUGGCAGGUGCCUGUAGUCCCAGCUACUCAGGAAGCUGAGGCAGGAGAAUGGUGUGAACCUGGGAGGCGGAGCUUGCAGUGAGCCAAGAUUGCGCCACUGCACUCCAGCCUGGGUGACAAAGCGAGACUCCAUCUC